GUCUAGGUAGUAUAGUGGUUAGUAUGCUCGCUUGUGGCAACUUCUUCACUGGAGCAUUACCAGCUCGCGAUUGACGUCAGUUCGAUUCUGGCCCUGGACA